AUAUAUAUUUUUAAUUUUUAAAAAUUAUAUAUAUUUUGAAAAUUAAAAUUUUUUUUGUCAUCGUAUAGAUCAUCCAUAGAUCUACAACAUGUAACAAAAUUAAGCCUAAAUCGAAAAUGUUGACAUGAUCUUUUUUUAUUUUGUAAAUUUCGAGCUAUUUUUUCAAGCGUCCUCAAAAAAAUUGAGGGAAUGAGAUAAAAAAAUGAAGCACACCUGAUUUAGGCUCGAAUCUUCCUUCAAUCAUGCUGAAUUGGUAUGAUUUUCCCUGUGAGGGAAACGAAAAAAUCCAGAGAGCUUAGAAACGAUGUUGGGAAGGCCUUCUUGGGCUUUCCCAAUGUCUUUUAAUCAGCAAACAAAGGAAUUGGGAGGGGCCUAGUUCAAAAUCGGGUUGAUUCGGUGGGAACCGGACAGUUCGCACCGAGUUCGAACGGAACCGGCCAGUUUCGAACAGUUCCGGCCGGUUCCGAACGGUUCGGACUUUUUUUCGGUUGGUUCCGGUCGGUUCGGAAAUGGUUCCGGCCGCUUCGAGGCCGGAACCGACUCCAAUAGGCGAACCGACCUGGUUUCUUAUUGGGUCAGCUCGAUACAGGCUAAUCCAGGCAAUUCGAUCCAAUUCGGCCUUCCUUGGAUAUGAAGGUAAUUUUU
rnacentral:lncRNA from 1 species